rnacentral:tRNA from 1 species
GUAGCGCAGUGGUUAGUGCAGUCUGCCGGAAACAGAAAGACGCGGGUUCAAUUCCCGUC